CCCUAAAAGACUAUGAUUCAAGUUUAAAUGCCAUAAUUUAUUUCAGCACUUGUGCUCUAACUACAAAUUCUACAAAUCAAAAUUGUUCAUAUUUACUGGAUUUAUAAGGGUUCCAUAACAGAACUGUUGAAAGUCUUUGAAAAAUGUUUUUAAAGAUUUCCUCUGAAGUUAUUCAAAAAUUCAACCUAAGCUUAAAUUGCUGUUUUCUAAAGGGAAAUAACUUCUAAACCAAAACUACUCCUAAAUCAAAUGUAUUCAUGCUGGUACUAUUUCAAAUUCAUCAAGACACAAGAGGAUAAUAGAUGUUCAUAUUUACAUAGGAAUGAUUUCUUAGCUCAAUAAGUAAACCCACAUUUGGGAGAAACAACUGGUCUUUCAGCUAAGCCAUGAUUUCAACGUUAUUCCUACUUACAUAACAGAUUAAGCAUUUAUUUCUCAAUACUAAAGUCAAAAGAAACAUUGGGCAUUGAAGAGCUUUAUGAUAUUCUAAAGGCCAGCUUCAGAUCUGGAGCUAAUGAAGACGGGUCAGGAAUUACCCAGCAAUUACUUUAUUCACUCUAUUCAGUGUUUACACCUAGAAGCCCCAAUCAGCUGCAAAUGAUCCGACUUGACCAGGAAAUCAGAAACUUUCUGAGCACAGGCAAAAAAAAGUUGCUCAGUUGCAAAGUCAGCUUGCGGCUGAUGACCUGUAACUGUCCGUUUUUUUUUGAGACGGAGUCUCCCUCUGUUGCCCAGGCUGGAGUGCAGUGGCACAGUCUCAGCUCACUGCAAGCUCCGCCUCCAGGUUCACAUCAUUCUCCUGCCUCAGCCUCCAGAGUAGGUGGGACUACAGGUGCCAGCCACCACGCCUGACAAAUUUUUUGUAUUUUUAGUUGAGACGGGGUUACACCAUGUUAGCCAGGAUGGUCUCGAUCUCCUGACUUCAUGAUCCGCCCACCUCAGCCUCCCAAAGUGUUGGGAUUACAGGCGUGAGCCACUGCGCCCGGCCAGCCUGGCCAACUGUCCCUCUUUCAAACCACAAGCUCCUCAAGGAUCCUCUGCAGAUGCCUCUCUGCGAGUCAAGCCCAGGUUGGUGCCCAGCAACUUUCAGAGUGAUGUUUCAUUUCCUGCAUGCUUUCUCUACAUAGCACCAGUAAGCCUGGACUUCUAGCCCAUGAUAGAAGCGUGCCCCUAAUUCCCGGCUAUCUUUCUAACAUGGACUCCCCAUGCUACUCAAGACUUCUAUCCACAAUUUAUGUCCUCAACAGACUCUGGCUUGUCUGAGGGUUCCAACAUUUCCCUCUUAUUCUGACUUAGAUAUAUGUCUACUCUAUUUCACAUAACUUUCCCCAGUUCUAGGUUUUCACCCUAAAUUUAGUGGCUCAAACCCUAAUAUCUGGCUUCAAAAAAACUCAGCAGAAGUUCAAAAGCAUUUCUAUUCCUCCAAGCUCAUAUGUUCUUUUUCCUACACUAGGCUGAGGUCCCAGAUGCCAGUUCUCAGACACAUUAGUGGCUCUAGAUAUGCACUUAAAGCAAACAUAACCUUAAACGGUAAAUAAAGAACCCGGAACUUGGAAUUAACAUAUGCGUUUCUGAUGCUAGCUCUGCCACUAAGAUCACACCACUGUAUGAUCUUGGAUGAGUCAUUAACUCUCUAGGUCUGUUUUUUUCAUCUCUAACAUUAAGAGGUUUUAUAAUUUCAAAGUUCUCUUCCAGCUAUGAAAUUUUAUUAUUAUAUUCUGCAAAAGUAUUUGUCAGAUUAAUUCCUAGACAUAUAAAGACAUAUAAAGGUUUAACACAUUAUCUAUUGUUAUUUACUCUGCCAUUUCUCCUCUCCAUUUGUGUGGACAACUGAAAGUCAAUUACGUAUGCUAAGGCAAAGACAUUGGGGAAGACUCCCUAUACUUUUACUCCACUGGCAUAUCUAGAUGAACAACUUAGUGCCCUGCUGAUUAAAGGACUCAAAGACUCAUCCAUAUCCAUUUCUCUCACAAGUUUAAAGAAGCAAAACCCAGUCGCUGCUACCUACUAUGGGCCAGGGAUCCAGUUAAGCACUUUACUGCCUUAAUUCCAAUCCUCACUAUUUGAAAGGAAAAAAUGAUCACCAUUUCACAGGAUCAGAGUGGUUCUUUAGCUUACCCAGCAUCACAGCUCUAACAAAUGGUGGUGGAAGAAUUCAAAUGUAAGACCUUUGCUUAGGACAGGCACGCUAGUAAAGACCAGAAAAGGUAUUAAGGCCGGGAUUCGUGGCUCAUGCCUGUAAUCUCAGAACUUUGGGAGACCGAGGCGGGCAGAUCACCUUAGGUCGGAAGUUCGAGACCAGCCUGACCAACAUGGAGAAACCCCGUCUCUACUGAAAAUACAAAAUUAGCUGGGUGUGGUGGCACAUGCCUGUAAUCCCAGCUACUCAGGAGGCUGAGGCAGGAGAAUCACUUAAACACAGGAGGAGGAGGUUGCAGUGAGCCGAGAUCGCGCCAUUGCACUCCAGCCUGGGCAACAAGAGCAAAACUCUGUCUCAAAAAACAAAACAAAAUAAAAAAGAAAGGGUAUUUAACAUCUCAGGCUUGGGCACAAGUGAUCGCAACACUCAACCUGCCUGCCAUACCAUAAGCAUGCAUUAAACUUUCUAUUGCAUUUAACAGUACUUACAUUGUGCCCUUCCCAAAAGAUAGAAAGAAAUGGAUUCUCCUAGGAAUGGCUUCAAAUUUGUCAUAUGUGAAAAAAGAAAAUAAAGUCUGUAAUUUAAACAUUAUAUAUACACACACACAUGCAUAUCUACUUGCUAUAUUUAAAAAUCUAGUUAGAAAUGAAAAUAUGUCAAUGACCCUAUCAUUUUGAACAAGUAAACAUAAAAUGGAAUAAAUAAAAAUACAGAUGAAAAUAAAUGGGAAAUACAGAAGUCAUUUAUUUUAACUCAGAGUUUUAAACUCUGUCUCUAAAAAUGAAUAGAAAUUAGUACUAACUAGUAAGAUAAAUUAUAAAGUUACAAUAAUUAAAAUUGUCAUCAUAUGGUAGAAAUUUAGAAUAUGAUCGAGGUAGCACUUCAAAUCAGAGAAAAAAAUAUGGAUUAUUUAGUAAAUGAUGUUAGGACUAUUUGCCAGCCAACUGGGGGAAGAAAACAAAAUCUGGAGUUCCCAUUUCUGACACCAAAAUUAACGAAGUUCUCAUCUCUCACACCAAAAUUAAUUCAAGAUGGCUCAAAAAUUUAACAAAAAACAUAAUGAAAUAUUCAGAGAGAAUUUUUGUUAAACAUAAUAAAUAAAGUAAAUGUUUUUAUCUCCAAGACCUCUUGAGACCUAAGUCACUAAAGAUUAAAUUAAACAGGGUAAAAUUCUAAAAGGACUAAUGAUGAUGAUAACAAAUAAGAGAUGUCACCCAAGACAGAAGGGCCAGGGUAACUGAUUAAGCCAAGUGGAGAUAGCUGAAGCCUAACCAGCUCCAGUGAUAAAAGUCUCCAGGGAUGGAAAUCAAAGAAAGAUGUCUUACACUUUCACAUGCACGAGAAUCACCUGGUGAUGCCCAGAUUCCAAGUCAACAGAUCUGGGGUGGAGCCUGAAGUGCUGCAUUUCUAACAAGCUCCCUGGUGAUGGGGCAGAGGCUGAUGGUCUAUGGUUCACACUUUGAGUAGAGAGGCUUUAGACUAGAGAAUGCCAGAAAUGUUUGACAACUGUAGGCACCAGAUACCUCUGGAGGUCAGGGUGUAAAGUUCAGCUGGAACAGGAUACUGGUCCAAAGUCUGUACAAGGAACAUGAACACCUCCAGAUUGGGUCCCCGAAACCAGGUGACUGCUCUCCCCAGCCCCAGCAGAGAGGGGUGGUUUACUCCUGGGAAGGUUGAAUCACAGAGGACCUGGCUUUUGGGACACUGAGUACAGUGACCAAAACAGGAUUAAGAUAAAUCUUCAUCUCACUGCUCAGCUCUCAGAACAGUGGCAGCAGGCUUAUAACCAUCAAGCAGGCUAGAGAAAAGCUGUUCUCUGGGGAAACUGACUAGUUCAAGAGAAAGUACUCUAAGGAAAAAACAAAACAAAGCAAACAAACAAAAAAAAAAACCCUGAAUGAUCAGACUACAUAAAACUUGAAACCUUCAGCCAGGGAAAAAUAUCAUGAAGUCAAAAGACAAAGCACAUAAGCAAAUAUUCUCAGUAUACAUGAAAAAGAGCAUAUUUCUUUCUUUUUGCAUAGGAAGCCUUUAUAAAACAAUAAACACUCCCAAAAAAGACAAAAACAUUAAUUCGUGGAAAACUAAAUACAAGUGGCUUUAAAACAUAUAAAAAUGUGCUUAACUUCACUUUUAAAAAGCGCAAGUUAAAAUAAUACCAUUUUUCACACAGUCAAUUGGCAAGCGUUUGCAAGUUCAAUCAUACUGUUAGAAACUUUCCUUCAGUGAGCAGAAAUAUAUAAACACGUACAAUCCCCUAAGGGGACAAUUCUCCAAUAUCUAUCAAAAUUCAAACAGACCCAGCCACUUCACACUAAUAGAAAUUUAAGGUAAUUCACAUGGAAAGAAAGAAAGACGUACAAAAGUUGCCACUGUGACAUUGCUUUUAAUAGCAUAUGAUUGGAAAUGAUCUCAAGAAGCACUGAUAGGGGAGUGGUUAAAUUAUGAUAAAUAUAUGCAUUUUAUAUGCUAUAUAAAAUGUUAAAAAUUCUGCACAACCAUUUACUAGAAAAAAGUUGACUUUUCAAUAUUUCCAUAAAAAGAUGUUCAAGAUAUAGUAAGUGAAAAACAAAGUGCAAAUGAGCUUAUAUAGUUGUGUUAAAUAAAAUGUAGAGACACAUGGCUAUGGACUGAAUGUUUAUGUCCCCCCAAACUUGCAUGUUGAGGCCUACAACCCCAGUGUGAUGGAACUAGGGUGUAGGGCCUUGAGAAGCAAUUACAAGGGUGGAACCAACCAUGAAUGGAAUUAGUGCCCUAUGAGACUCUCUCUCUCUCUCUCUCUCUCUCUCUCUCUCUCUCUCUCUCUCUGUCUCUCCCUCAUUCCUUUCCUCCCUCACUCUACCAUGUGAGUAUACAAAAAAAAAGACAAAGAGCCUCUGCAAACCAGGAAGAGGUGCCUCACCAGACACUGCAUCUGCUGGUGCCUUGAUCUUAGGCUUGUCUCCAGAACCAUGAAAAAUAAAUUUCUGUUGUUUACGCCACCAGUCUAUGGUAUUUUGUCAUAGCAACCUGUGAUGGUUAAUUUUGGGUGUCAACUUCACUGGAUUAAGGCAUACCUAGAGAACUGGUAAAGCAUUAUUUUGGGGUAUGUAUAUGACUGUGUUUCCAGAGGAGAUUAGUAUGUGACUCUGAGCAAAUUAAAUGGGGAAGAUCUGCCCUCAAUAUGGGCAGACACUAUCCAAUUGCCUGGGGUCUUGGAUAGAAAAAAAACAGAGGAAAAGGAUUUCCUGUCUCUCCUGGAGCUAGCACACACUCUUCUCCUCCCGCCUCUGGACAUCAGGACCCCAGGCUCUCCAGCCUUGGGACUCCAGGACUUACAAAAGCAGUCCCUACUACGUUCUCAGGCCUUUUCACUUAGACUGAGCCAAGGUACUGAUGCUGCAGGGACUCCAGCUUACAGACAGCCUAUUGCAGGACGUCUCAGCCACCAAGAUCAUGUGAGCCAAUUCCUCUAAUAAAUCUCCUAUCUAAUCUAUCUAACAUAUUUAUCUAUCUAUCAUCUAUCUAUCCAUCCAUCCUAUUGGUUUUCUCUGGAGAACCCUAAGACACAACCCUAAGACAUAUAUACUUGAACAUGCAUAGAAAAUAUUCCAGAAGGCAGUUGCAAAUGGUUGUCUCUGAGGAGAGAGUUUUAUCUUUCAUGGUAUACCCUAUUUUAUUGUUUGAUACUUUUUUACAAUAUGCAUGCAUUGAUUUUUUUUUCUUUAUUAGCUUCCUUCUCAAAGAAUUACACAGAGCAAGGUGAUAAAAGGGUGAUUAAAAAAAAAAAAGAGGAUGCCAGAGAGGAGCAUAAUUAAUGUACUGGCUGGAAGCUGCCAUUCCUUGUUCUGUCCAACAACUGGUUUGAGAAGAUAGGCUAACCUCUUUUGCAACUCUUUCUCUGUACCUCAGAAAGAGAAACAAUAGUAAUAAUACACAAGUUUAUUUUAGUUUGUAAUUUUGAACCCUUCAUCUAUUGUGAUCAUUUAUUUCAUAAACAUAUGUCAUAUAUUUGAACCUUUUCCAACUUAGUGCCUUAGGCUUACCUAGCUAACAAAAACAGUGAGCCCGGACUUGCAUGUGAGAGGGUAGUUGUAUUCGACAUUAACAAAUGUCUGAUUCUAAGCCUUGAAGCCACCAUGUUGCAAGACCAAACACGACCCACAGAACACAAACACUACCACACUGGGGCAGGAGCCAAUAAUCUUGAGAAAGUUUGCCUGCUGUAACUAAGCCUAACAGCCUGACCUAUGAGCCAAUGUGCUUUAUAUCAAUUUUCUAAAACCAAGAAAUAUUAUUAAGAAACUAGCUACUUCUAGUAAACUUAACGGUUUCCCAAUUCAAACCCUUGGAUACAAUUUCCAUAAAAUACCAAUAAAAAUAUUAUAUAUAAUCACUCCUUUUUCACUAAACUAUUACUGCUAGCCUUAUUGUUUAUACAUCCAUUAAAUUUAAUCAUUGAUUCUACCCUGUCAUUUCACCAAAUCCAUACGCAGUAAGUUCUCUACCACUUUGAAGCUGUACAUUUUUAUGAGAAAAAAUAAAUCCCACGAUAUAAAAUUGCUUUUCAAAAAGUUACUUUUAAAAAGCCAUCCUAGAAUGUCUUUAUUCUUAGAGACAGUCUAGGAUGGCUUUUUAAAGAUCCGUGCUCAACUACUCAUUGGUGAUGCGUCAUAAUAGCUGCGAUUUACUUUGCAUGCUACAGAAAAAAUAUGAUAAAAUGUUAAUAAUCAUUGAAUUCUGGUGGCAAGAAUAUGAGUGUUCGUGGCACUUUUUUUUAGCUUUUCUCUAUAUUUGAACAUUUUCAUAAAAGUCAAAAAAUGUUAAUACAUGCCAUCCUAUUGGUAUAAAAAAAUAACUUUUCCCAAGUAGACAAGCACGAUGAGAUAAUAUGAUGACUAAAAGGUAGGGUGGGACAGGCAAUCAACUGUACUGAAGAACAACGUAGUUCUAGAUUUAAAGUCUUUUUGAGUUCUCAGUUCAUAGUUGUUGCUGAAUCUUGGUUACUUGUUGCUUGUUUACAUGCUGAAUGAAAAUGUUUCUACCAUCAGAAUAGCUUAAUCAUAAGGUAAUUCUUCUGAUAAUAAAUUAUUAGGAAGCCCCAUACAAGGACAGAUAUUCUUCAUUACUGAUUUCUUGUUCAAGGUAACUUAUGGUUGACUUUUAUUUGUUGUAAAGGAAUAUAACACAACACUCACCAUUCCUGUUAGCUAAGUAACCCUAAGGCAAUGAGUUGGGAAGGGUGAAAUAUGUUUGUUAAAUAAAUGUUUGCAAUAGAUGUUGCAAAGUUCAAAGUAUAAACUUGAAUUUCUCACUGUAUUUUAUGAUUAUCAUUCCCAUUUCUUUAAAGAAAGAGUGGCAAAAUGUCUUGUUAUGGUAUUAUUAAAUUUCCUUCCUAACCAGCAUCCCAACCUUCUGUUCUUUGGAAAAGUCAUCAUGUUAAAAUAGUUGUUUUCUUUAUAGAUUAAGUUUACCAAAAUUACAUUCUAUUUGCUGCAGGAUAAGUCAUGGUUGGGAGGACACGAGGAAUGCAUUUCCUCAUACUGCGUUGGUAGGGAUGUCAAUUGGUAUAAUUUUUCUUGAAAGGUUUUCAAUGCAUUUAUCAAAAUUUUAACUCUGCACAUUCUCUGAUCCAGCAAUUCUACUUCUUUAUGUCAGUUUAGGGAAAAACACCUAAAUGCAAAAACACCUAAAUGCAAAGAAGUCUGUAUAGGAAUGAAGUUACUGCAUUGUUUCCUAUAGCAUUUAUGGAAAAGCCGUUAAAUCAACUAGGAAACACCCACAUAACGGGAUGCUGUGCCAUCACAUUAAAAAGAAAAUGGCUCUACAUUCACCAACAUUGGAAAAUCCCCAAGACAUGGCCUUACGUGGAAAAAAGACAAAUAAGUUUCAGAGCAAGACUCAGAAUAUACCAUUCAUAUUUUCUUUUGUUUUUUUGAGAGACAUGAUCUUGCUGUGUUGAUCAAGCUGGAGUACAGAUUCACAGGUGCAAUCAUAGCUCACUGCAGCUUUCAACUCCUAGCCUCAAACAGUCCUCCUGCCUCAGCCUCUUGAGUAGCUGGGACUACAGGUGCGUGCCACCACACCUGGCAUCAUUCAUGUUUUAAACAAACUUUAUCUUUCCAUAUACAUACAUAUGUAGACAAAUCAUUGAAAAAGGUCCAAAAGGACAUGUAUAUCAACUACUAAUACUGGACACAUCAGGGAAGAAAGUGAGAUAGAAGAAACAGUGAAAAUGGAGAACUGGCUGUGUGUUUUUUUAUUUUUUUAUUUUUUUCGUGUAUGGGGAGUUUCCUAAUGAGACUAUAGACAUAUCAUUAGUAAUUUUUAAAAUAACUGUUAAAUCAAGAGGUAUCAUAUUCUAAAUAUUUCAAACACAAUUUUGUAGCAUUAAUGUUAGAUAAUGAAACAUUUUUUAAUCCACAAAUUAAAAUUAAUGCCCUAGAAACUAACAAACGGUUACUGCUGACACAAUAAUGCACUAAGAUUUAUUAUAUAUUGUGUCAUUACAUUUCUAGGAAAACCGAAAAGAAUUCAGAAUUUCCAUUUAAAAGUAGCCUGAAAAAACAAUCAUCUUAAACAUGAAUAAUUUGGAAGAAUGUUGUUGUGCCCUUUUUGUAGAGAUACUAGGACUUAGUAAAGUGAUUAUAAAACUGAAAAAAAUGCAAACAGAGAUAGCAGCACAAUAAAAGGGUAAAUUUUUUUAAGAUUACAGAAACAUUAAGAACAAAAGAAAAAACUUAAACAAACAUGAGUGAAAAGAUACAUGGUAGGCAGGUGUGAAAAAAAUUAAUAAAACCACAUGGAAAAAACUAAUAAUAUUAAAAUGAUUAUAGACAAGAUGAUAGACAUGAAAGGCAGACAAAGGAAAUCUAACAUAUGUAUAACUGAUAUUCCUGAAGAAGAGAAGGAUAAAAGGAACAAAAGAUAGAUCCAAAGACAGAACAAAAAGCUUAAAUAAGAAAAAUUGAGAUGAAAAGAUACGUUUUUAAGGUGAGCAUAAUGUUUCAAAUGCAAGCACUGCAAGUUUUAAAGACAUUAUUUGCAAAACAAAGUAUUCCAAUGUCACAAACCAAUAUUUUGUGUUCAAAAUAUCUGGUUUUUUCAAAUCCAAAGUAUCGGAUACCUUUGUUUCCAUUGUCUCAAAUGACAAAUUGAGUGAGACCAUCUAUAUUCAAGGAACAAGAUCCAGUUUGUCAACAAACUUAUACACCUAUCCUAUUUAACAUCCUUAAUCUGUUUAUCUUUUAAAAAGAAAAAGAUGUAAAGAUACUGUAUUUUUGUCUCUUUACUAGCGCCUAUCCUUAUAAAACAGUAUAUUAAUCAAAUAAGGUGGAAAAGAAAAUGGAUGUUCUGACUAUGGCCUUUCUCUUACUUUCUCACAUUCUGACAUCCUCUUCCCAUUCCUUUUUCAGUAAUUUCUUUAUUAAAUUCGAUGGCCAAAUACCAAUCAGAUUUUGUACAUAAACACACACACACAUAUCUAAGCAUGAGCACAGACUUAACACAAAGAAAGAAGGUUCUAUUGGUAAUGACAAGUACCAGAGCUUCUGUCGUCCUCUAUAAGGAACCUACUAUUCCUUAAGUGGAAUAGUGAGUUUUGCUGCAUAAAUUAGGCCUUUCCUCUUCAUACUGCAAACGGUUUUUAAAGCUUCUGGGGUACCAGUAAUGUUCUGAUCCUUGAUCUCUGUUCUGAUUAAUGAACACAUGGUGUAUUCACUUUGCUGUGAUAAUUCAAUGAGCUGUACAAGAAGGUAUACUUUUAUGCGUGUUUCAGUAUGAAUGCUAUACAGGGAGAAUAAAAAGUCUGCUUUAGAAAAAAAUAGCAUUUUUCUAACAAUGCCAUAUGAACAUUUGCUAAGCAAGUUUGAGUGCUGGGGUUUAGAGCUAAUACCCACUAGGGUAUAAUGGUGACUGAAUCAGCGUUUCUCCAAGAUGGAAUUUUAAGCCCAACUCAGGAAUCUAUGCUCCCUUUCAUUGUGCACACAUGGGUCAAUCAGCGUCUGCACUCACACUCUCAUCUACAUCUCUCCCUCUCUCCACAGAUUCGAACUGGGCCUCAGAAACAAAAAGACUAUGUUCAACUUUACCUGCAAAGAUAAGUGUAACCUCUUCUCAACACCCAAAAUAUAUAAUCAUAUACUAUUUACUUACUUUGGCAGUUCUCAUUCAGAGCAGCAGCCGGACUCUUAGAUUGGCUUUUAAAGUAAGGUGGAAGUUUCUAGCAGCUAAGCGCAUUCAAUUUAGAAAAGCUUUAGACAAUCUGAAAGGAAAGAAAUUCCUUAUAUUUGACCCCUGAAUAAAGAAUUAGUUAUUGGCUGGCAAGUGGAAUGGCGAUUGACGGAGAGAGCGGCUACCCAGGUCUGGUUCUGCUUUAAAUGCAGUAUUUUUGUCUCAUCUUUAACUCUGAAAAAGGGGGAAACAGCUUACCAAAAAAUAAACAGUUGUUUUAAAUUGUGGAACCAAAUAACUCAAAUUUAUUUCCUUUUUAGAAAUCAGAAAAACAGCCUAAAACCAUGACGUUAUCUUUGAGAACAGAAAGAACAUUUAUUUUAUGCUAUUACAUAGUUUUUAAAUGCCAAAAAACUAAAAAGUAGUAUGUAAUAAAUAACAUUGAAAGUGUAGCAAAAGUUGAGGUGAAAGCUCUUAUUAUAUAUGCAAGUGGAUUUGCCCCAAAUUCAUUAUUACCCUGGGAAAUGUGAGAACAACAGACCAUCUGGUAACCAGGGCUCAGGGCCAAAAGGUAAAAGGGAUCCCCUUCCCAAUGAGGAGAUUCCUUUUACCCAGGACAUUUUUAAGACAGAGUAGGUUCUGGCAAAGAGGGGAAGGUAAGAAGAUGUGAAAGCACUAGGCAAAUAGGAUUCAGCAGUCAAAUAAGCGGUAAGCCAUGGUCCUAAAUUGGUUUACUUGCCUUCUGCCCAAUCUUAGAUGGCUUGACACUAACCAGGUGUGGACAGCCUGGGGCAGGGACAUCACAAGUAUUGACACUGGUAAGCCUGUUUAAAGCUUAGAGACCCACAGCUAACGCCUGCCUCUGAGCGAGGCAGCCUUGGGAGGAGCUGGAAUUUCCUAGCACUGUUCUCAUUAAACUCUAAGAUAUAGUUUACUGGCAUGUUUAUUUCAGGAGCCUCAUUCUUUCAAAUAAACUAUACCUAAUGCUAGCAAAAGUAAGCUUCACACAUUGUAAAACUCAAAACUAUGAACAUAAAACACAUACACAAAACCACUUGACUGCCUGAACCCUCCUUAGAAAUCCUGUCUGGUUAACAACCACCACCUGCAUAUCUGUUUUUGUUCUCUCCCUAGUCCCUUUGCAAUUCUGCAAGCAGCCAUUUAAGUGUGGGAGCUUAACAAGCAAGACUUAACACACACUGGGUGAAGGCAGAAGGAAAACAAAAAAGUUUAUGGUCUCAGUAACACAGGCAUGCUAAGGAUGAAUUAGCACACCAGGAACUGACCCUGGCUAUCUACAGACACAGUUCUGCCCUCAGAAGCUCCAACCCACACUUAAUGGGGAGCCUUUUAAUCACCUUUUUAAAAAGCCAUGAAAUGUGGCACAGGGACAGUGGGGGCAGGCAACACCCCUCAGUCACCAAGGAAGCUUCUUCCCACAAACACUCUAAGUCACCCUUAGGGCGAGACAGAGAAGCCAUUUCUUAUGGUGCAAUCAUAGUUCAUUGCAGCCUGGACCUCCUGAGCUCAAGCGAUCCUCCCAUCUCAGCCUCUGGGGUAGCUGGGGCUCCAGGUGCAUACCACCACGCCCAGCUAAUUUUUUUUUUUUUUUUUUUUUGGUAGAGUUGGCAGGGUCUCACUAGGUUGCUCAGGUUGGUCUCAAACUCCCAGGCUCAAGCAGUCCUCCCAAAGUGCUGAGAUUACAGGCAUGAGUUACUGUCCUGACCUCAGGAUGGGUUUAAUAGGCUGAGCAGUCAGGUAGAGUGACCAGCUGUUUCAAUUUUCCCUGAAAUGGCAUUUCCUGAGACAAUCUCAAAUCAGGAUGAAAUGGUUACUCUAUAAUGGCACUGCUAGGGUUCCAGGUCAGCCAGGCUCUGCCAGGACCUGAGUGAGUGGCAGAGCACAAGUCACUUCAUUCAUCUCUUUAGGCUGCGUAUCUUCAUAUCCAAAGUGGGAGGUGGAGUAGUAUUUUUAUCUCUGCCAGUAUUUCUCAAAGUGUGGUCUUCUGGUCACCUGUGCCAUGAAACAGUGUCUGACAGUGGUAUUGCAGUUGUGGGGGUGGGUAGGAACAGUGUACCCUGGUAGGGAGGAGUAUUUUAUCACUUCUAUCAAUUCUGUGUUAAUAACUGGCUUCACAUGGUGCCAAUAAAAGACUAACUUUUAACCAAUUUUUUUUAAUUCUCUACAGCUAAUACAUCACCUUACUGCGUGUACCCAAAGCAGAUCACUCCCACCAUUCCCCACUUCAGGACACCACUGUUGUCUGACCCACAGUGGACUUGUAGAUCUCUGAAUCACUAAGUUUCAAUUUCCAUUUUCAGUAGAAAGUCUAUGACCCUAAAUGAUGACUGAAUUAAAACAGGGGCAAUUUUUGGUAAUUUGUCGUUAUACAGCAUUGUGGUUUCAUCUUUGCCUUACUUCCUCAUUUAAUAGACAACCCACCACAAAUGUCCCCUUUCAUCACCCUAAGAUGUCUCUAACAAAGCCUUAAGAAAUGAGCAGGUUUGUUAAAUUAUUUACAUGGCUAACUACUUACAAAUUAUAUUUAAACUAUGCAGAGCUGGAAAAGUGCCUAUAGUUGAAAGCAGGUGCAAAUUCCUUCUGAAUUAAUUUAGUCAGCCUAGGUUCGUCACAUUCACACCAAUGGAAGUUCCAAUUUGGGGGUGCAGGUUUAUUUCUCUUAAAGAAAAAAAAUACAUACAUAUAUUAUUUUCAGCUAAUUUUGAAUGUUUCCAUUUUCAUAAAUGUGAUCCCAAUGUCACUAGACUGAAUUUCUUUUUUCUUAAGGAUCAAAUUAAGAUAAUCCACUAGGCUUAAAAUUCUGAAAGAAAUCAAUAAAUGUCUGUCUUGAGGCUGUCCUAUUUCUGGGAGGCUCUUAUUAGGAAAAAUGUUUCUGAGCUGUCUAAAUAUUAAUGUACACCCUCAGCAAAGUGAUUACAUGAGUGUGAAGUGGACAAAGCCCCAUUCCUCACUAAGCUGCUAGGGGUGUUUUCUGCCAGCUACAAGAAGAAGAAUCAACAUCUUCCUCAGAGGAAAAAAAGAGAGAGAAGGGAAAAGAGAAUAGGGAAAGUAAAACUCUGUACACAGACAGCCCUAACUAGGGAAAAUGGGGAUCUAUGCAGGAAAGAGGUCUAUGGUAAAUGUCUAUGAUGUAAAGGUAAGGCCAGUGAAGUCCCAUUUCUGAAAAUAAGAGUUUCAACAAACACUCAGAAAGUGAUUGUGUGUGUGAAUAAACCUGAAGAACAAGUAAUCACUAUUUCACUGAGCUAGGCAUUGCCCUAAACACAAUGCAAAUAUUAUCUCAUUUAAUCCUCACAGCAACCCUAUGAGUUUCACAUGAAAACUGAGCUUGCAGAGGUUAAGUAAUUUGCCCCUAGACCAGUAGCUAGCAAGUGGCAGGGCCAAAACACAGCCCAGGUCUUAAGUCAAUAUAAAUGCCAAACUUGAUGUGUGCCCUUACCAGUGGUCAAAUACCCAAUCAAUUUUCCCUUGAGACUGCGUGCAAUAAACAACUAUCACUGGGGCUAGACCAGGGGAAGUAGGUGGAGAUAUCUGCAUAUCACUGAAAGGCAGCUUCCAGAGAAAACUCCACCCAGAGGGAGACCAUCUUUGGGGAUGGGGGUCUCUCUCCAAAGGCACAGAAGCCAGAGCAGAGGCCAGGCUCUCAGUGGCACACAGCGGCCCCCCACUUGUUUAACACUCCACCAUUAGAAAUGGUUUUCCACAGGUCCCCAGUAUACAACCCACAUCAUUAACUGUUGAGAAGAAAAGGCUUAAAAGCAUCCUCCCUCCCUAAACUGGCACAAUGCUGAAAAGAUUGGGGUUUCAGGGCCUGUCUAAAACUCUAAAUAUUUACUCUUCAAUAGAACAAGUAAAUCCUCCAGGUCCAGCAUCAACUAUGUAAACAGGCCCUACUGCUUCCACAAGUUGUACCAUGACCCCAUGUCCUUGGGCCCCCCCACACAUAUACCCAUUUAUUUUAUUUUAGAAAAUCAAAUUACAGAACAGUAUUUCUCAAGCAGGUACUCAAUACUGUACUCUGGUAUCAAUUAUUUUCUACACAACGUGUAUUUUUACGAACCAGGUUUCAUUGAAUCCCCUUAUGUACAUUUUUGCAGAGAGUGCUCAAUACUGCAAAGUGGCAUAUUCUCCAUUUUACAAGAGAGGACACCAAAUUUGAGAGAAUAUGUUGUCUAUUACUGCACAGGUGAUAAACAGCACUGUUUGAAUUUAAACCUGAAUUCUGUAAUCUUUCUGAUAUCCCACCCAUUUUCCUUUCAAUUCUAGCUAGAAAUAAAUAUACAUGUCUAUUAAUUGCAAUAGAUAUACAAAAGAGCAACACAAUUUAAAUAUACUGUUAUCAAGUCUAUCCAUGCAAAGAUGUACACACACCCACUGACAUACAAAGCCCUUUUAGUCUCCCAUUUUCCAUAAUGCCCAAAUGACUGAUUGCUUCAUUCUCAGUUUUUCUUCACUCAAGCUAUUGUGUGCAAAACUGCCACUGCUUAAACCACCAAGUCACUUUAUUCUGCUUUGAAAUGGUGAGCUAUUAAAACAAGAUCUACAGAGCCACUUAGACUAGCUGGCAGCUUUUACUCUGAUACUUGCCAAACUGUGUCCCUGGACAAGAUUUUAGAUGGUUUUCUAAACACCCUCCCCCACUCUUAACUCUAUGCUGCUCCUCUUCUCUCAAAGACUUCCCCGUGUCUUUAAGAAAGGGUCUGUAUCAGUAAUAAUAAGAAAGGAGGAAGUGACAAAGGAAGAAGAGAGGGAAGGAAGGUGGGGGAGGAAUCGAGGAAAGGAAAGAAAGAAAAUACAAUCUUAAUCACAGCUUCAGGAGAGCAACAGUAGCUUUGUAACCUGAAAACCUCAAAGAUAAGAUGUGACAUUUAUGUAGACAAUGGCGAGUUACAAACAAAUGUUAUUCUUAGGUCACUGUGUGCAAAAGGUUACCUAGUGAAGGAAUGCAUCUCUCCUGCAAUUAAAAACCAUUUGUGUAUCUCUAACCUCAGCCUUGUCAAAAACAAGCCCCACAACCGAAUUCUAAGUUAUAAUAGUAAAAGCAAAAGUAGGAAUAGAAGGCAGGAGUGGUCCAAGAGAAGCCCACUUUGAAGACCAGUAGAGAGAAAAAGGAAGUUCUUCUUUAAAAGAAGAAAGAAGAAAAACAGCACUGCCCAAAACAUUCUUACAGAUGAAUUACGGAAAACAGUAUUUUGUACAAUGACCAAACAUUAAACUUCAAAAACUACUGUUGAAUAAUAUGUACCUGACUGCUUCUAAUCAGAUUGUUUUUAUAAUAUGCAGCAUUUGAGAAAAAUCAUCUUUAAAUACUCAAGUGUUUGAAUCAUUUGCUUGUAAAAUGCAUGGAAAAUUAAACUGAAAGCUAGGGAGGAAGAUGAAAUCUGAUCUUCACUCACCCAGAGCUUCCAUAGGAUAUACCUGUGGCCUAGGCUGCUAAGGAGAGUUUUAUCUCAUUAUCCUGGUUUGCUUUAAAUGGAUUGUGUACUUACCAGGGUGACUUGACUUUAAUCCUAGACUCCUCCGAAACUAUGCAAUGUGCUUUUCUACAGACACUUUGCUCUCCUCUUCUACACAUGCAGCCAGUUUACUAUUAUUAAGUUGUCAUAUUAACAAAUGGACUUGAAAUGAUAUGCUCAGUUCAAGUGCCUUCUAAAAAAACGGGAUACUUAAGAGCUCUCUGGGUUUAAAAACCUUCCUUCUAUCACCCCUCACCUCCCACCCACCUAUGCCAGACGAUUCUGGAAAGAAGAGGCGCUCUCCUAGAUUUGAGGGGAAUUAAGCAGUUAAAAAAAAAAAAAAGCAGUGCUUGAUGAAACUGAGAUAAACAGAACUGGGAUGUUUGUUCCUAACUAGAAAAAUGUCAAGCCAAGAAAAUGAAGGCAGUAAUUUCUAGUGACCUUUCAAGUCAGCAAAUCUUCUAUUUUUUUUAAUUGUGGUAAAAUACACAUAGCAUAACACUUACCAUCAUAACCAUUGUUAAGUGCACUGUUCUAUGUCAUUAAGUACAUUCACAUUGUUGUGCAACCAAGACCACCAUGCAGGACUCUUUCCAUCUUGCAAAACUGAAACUCUGCACCAACCUCCAGCACCUUGCAGUCAUCACUCCACUACCUGUGUCUAUGAAUCUGACUACUCUAGGUACCUUAUAUAAGUAGGAUCCUACAGUAUUUGUCUUUUUGUGACUGUCUUAUUUCACUAAGCAUGUCUUCAAAGCUCAUUCAUGCUGUAGCAGAAAUUCCUUCCUUUUAAAAGAUGAAUAAUAUUCUAUUGUAUGUUGCUAUGGUCUGAAUGUUUGUGUCCCCCCAAAAUUCACGUUGAAACCUAAUAACUAAGUGUGAUGGUGUUAGGAGGUGGGGCCUGUGGGAGGUGAUUAGGUCACAAGGGUUGAACCCUCAUGAAUAGGAUUAGUGACCUUAGUGAAGUGGCCCCAGAGCCACCUCGCCCCUUCCGUGAUGUGAGAAUACAGUAAGAAAGUGCCAUCUGUGACCCAGAAAGUGGGCCCUAACCAGAUAGUAAAUCUGUUCACACCUUGAUCUUGGACUCUCCAGCCUCCAAAACUGUGAGCAAUAAAUUUCUCUUGCUUAUGAAUUAUCCAGUCUACAGUAUUUUGUUGUACCAGCCCAAACAAAUGGAGACAUAUGUAUAUGCCACAUUUUGUUUAGCUGUUCACAUAUCAAUAGACACUUUGGUUGCUCCCACCUUUUGGCUAUUGUGAAUGAUGAACAUGGGUGUACAAAUAUAUCUCUGAGACCCUGACUUCAAAUCUUUUGGGUGUACACCCCUAGAGGUAAAAUUGCUGUAUCAUAUGGCAAUUCUAUUUUUAAUUUUUCGAGGAACCUCCAUAGCAGUUGCACCAUUUUACAUUCCCACCAACAGUGCACAACAGAUCCAAUUUGUCCUCACCCUAGCCAACACGUGUUAUUCUGUUUGUUUCUUUGUUUUGAUAGCAGCCAUCCUAAUGCGUAUCUCAUAGUGGUUUUGAUUUGUAGUUCCCUAGUGAUUAGUCUAAUAAUAAGUCUUUUUUUGUUUGUUUGGUUUUUUUGACAUGGGGUCUCACUCACCCAGAAUUUAGAUAAUCCAUUACAGGAGUAGAGUAGUUUUUUUUUUUUUUAAUUUAGGCUCUAUCCCUCUUUCCCUCAUAAAGACCCAUUCAAUCUUGAUGCCUCAGUCUUCCUCCCAGCCCUUUCUCUCUGCCUCACUCUCCAUAAUAAAGUGUUAAUAUCAGUUACUUCAUCAUCCUCUUGAGUGUAUUCCUUCCACUAUUUAAAAUCUGAGAAGCUCCCUUCCUGAUGAUAGUGACUUAGCAUGUGGGGAAGAGUCGGGAGGAAGAAAUAAAUAAAAGAGUAUAAGGCCAGGUGCGGUGGCUUAUGCCUCUAAUCCCAGCACUUUGGGAGGCCAAGGCGAGCAGGUCACUUGAGAUCAAGAGUUCGAAACUAGCCCGGCCAACAUGGUGAAACCCCAUCUCUAUUAAAAAUACAUAAUCCCAGCUACUUGGGGGGCUGAGGCAUGAGAAUCACUUGAACCUGGGAGUCAGAGGUUGCAGUAGCUGAGAUCACACCACUGCACUCCAGCCUGGGGAACAGAGUGAGACCCUUGUCACACACACACACACACACACACACACACACACACACAAAAAGUAUAAAUAUGUGACCAGAGAAAAAGACCACGAUAAGACCACUCCACAUUAAGAAGUAAGAAAAAACCUGAAGGCCACCAAUUUCUUACAGAAAAAAGAUAAAAACUACAUCUCCUCAUCCCCAUAUGAAAAUAUACCUGAAUUCACAGAAAAUUAAAUACCAAUUAUUAAUAUCUGAAAUAAGUUUAUCAUAAGCAAUAUAAGAACACACAUUAUAACAGUAACAUUUCUUUCAAUUCAAAGCAAAAAAUUUUUUUGUUUUGAGACAGGAUCUUGGUCUGGCGCCCAGAUUGGAGUGCAGUGGCGUGAUCUCAGCUCACUACAACCUCCACUUCCCAAGCUCGAGUGAUCCUCCCACCUCAGCCUCCCAGGUAGCUAGGACUACAGGUGAGCAACACCACACCUAGUUAAUUUUUGUAUUUUUUUGUAAAGACGGGGUUUUGCCAUGUUGCCGCAGCUGGUCUCAAAUUCCUGGGCUCAAGCAAUCCAACCUCCUCAGCCUCCCAAAGUGCUGGGAUUACAGGCAUGAGCCACUGUGCUCAGCCUCCAGAUUUUUUCCAAUGAUAAUAAUCUAUAUUCUGAUAAGGAAAUACGAAUGGGUAUAAUCUUUCUGGACAACAAUUUGGCAAUUUGUAUCCAUCAAGAACACUAAAACAUUUAUCCUUUUGGGCUCAGAAAUGCCACCUCUAGGAAACAUUCCUUAGGAAAUCAUCAAGAAUUAAAAGACUUAUAUAAACUGGAAAUGGCCUAAAUAUCGAACAAAAACAUGAACACUGGUUAAGUAAAUUAUGGUAUAACCACAGUGUAGAAUAGCUUAUAGUCAUUAAAAAUAUUUUUGAAUAAGUUCAAUUACAUGGAAAGUAUUCAGAUUAUAUCAUUAAAUGGCAAAAGGCUAAAUAUAAAACCAUAUAUAUACAGUAUGAUUGAAUGAUAUUUACUUUAAAAUAGGAGACACCAAAAUUGUUAGAUCAAGAAACCUAGUUCCAAAUUCCUACACUGCUAUUUUAAGUUAUAUAAAGUUAAGUGUAUUUCCUAAAUUCUCAAUCCUAAAUUUCAUCCAUAAAAUGGGGAAAAAUUAGUAUCCACCUUACAGGGCCUGACAGAGGAUUAAAUAAAGUAACCACGUAAAGUAAAAAACUCAUUAAGGAAUAAAUAUUAGUUGUUACUAUUGUUUUCAAAAUUUUAAAAGUUGUUCAUUAAAAAUGGCAGUCAUUCAAAAUAGUCAAACAUCAAACAAAAUAAAUGGUAAGCACCAAGUCAUAGCUUCAGACCAUGCAUCCAAUCAUCCACAGCAUUAGUAACAAGAAACCCCAAAAAGACAUUGCAAGAAUCACCCUGACCAGCUGCAGUGACUCACACAUGUAAUCCCAGUGCUUUGGGAGGUCGAAAUGGGAGGAUCACUUGAGGCCAGGAGACUAGCCUGGACAACAAAGCAAGACCCCAUCUCUACCAAAAAAAAAUUAAAAAUUAGCCAGGCAUGGUGGCACCCACCUGUAGUCCUAGCUACUGGGAGGAUGAGGUAGGAGGGUUGUUUGAGCCUCAAGGCUGUAGUGAGCUAAGGUUAUGGCACUGCACUCAAGCCUGGACAACGGAGUGAAGCCCUGUCCCAAAAAACAAGUAAAUAAAUAAAAGAAUCAUCCUUUUGUGUUCAAUCAUGCUACAGUAUAGAUGUCAAUAAAGAUUAUGGUGUCAGGAAAGAGAGACCAAAAAAAACUUAUGAAAUCAUUUUUAAAAGGUGGCCAGGGGGAAGAAACCAAAGAAUAAAAUCCUAAGAAUAAAGAUUCUCAAGGCAUUGCUAAUAUGAAAGGAUCACUGUGCUAUACGAGGCAAUCCUGUUUACCUUUAAAAAAAACGAAAUGAAAAAAUGGUUCCUAAGAAAAAUUAAGUGACACAACUAGACAUACAAUCUGGAACUCCAGUAUUCUGAUUCAAAAGUGUUUAAGAAAUUAAUCAAAAGAAGAUGAGCAAGGAAAAAAAAUAAUAAAAUUUUGAAAGUCCCGACUAUGUAAGAAAUAAAUAAAAAAUCUGGUUUCACCUGGUGGUAAGAGGAAGAAAUGUAAGUGUAUGCAAUAACAUUUGAAACUUUUAAUAUACAACAUGGGCCUAGGUUCUAGUGUUCACCAACAAGGUUUAAUCAAGUUAGUAAAAUACAAGAGGGCAGCCUGAGGAUGGUGCAGCAAUGUCUGACAAAGCCAUGGAACUGGUAUGCUGAUGGAGGAAACUCACCUGAAAUCCCAUUUUCCCUCUGCUGCCACCUGUCCUUCCCCAUCACAGAAGAGCAACCACUUCUGAAACACUUUACAACCAGGAAUCCAAGAGAAAACUAGCCCUGUCCAUAGAGAAUUCAAAUAUUUUCAACAGAGAAGUCAUAAGUGAACUCAGGGUAUUAAUUUCAUAAUCCUAGAUGACAUUACAUCAUGGUGAUAAUUUAAAGUUAUCUCACCUACCUCCUCCACCAUUCUAAGGCACUGCCCCUUAACAGUAAUGUUAUGCCUUUUACCCAUAAAUUAACCUAUAACAAAUAGCCAAACUACUUCACUGUGUAAAUUCAAAACUUUUUAUUUUACUAGAUGAGAAAACUGUACUAAGUUCUGCAAAGAAUGCCAACCCUCUGAUUUUAGGUUGUUCUCCAACAAAACAUCCACUGUCAUUCAGAAACUAUGAGAAGCUAUUUAUGUCUGCAGACCACUUUUUUUUUUUUUUUUUUUUUUGAGACAGGGUCUCACUCUGUUGCCCAGGCUAGAGUGUAGUAGCGCAAUCACAGCUCACUGCAGCCUCAGCCUCCCUGGGCCCAUGUGAUCCUCCCACAUAAGCCACUGCACCCGGCCUGAAGCCCACUCUUGCCUCACACACUAGUCUCUGGCAAAGCAGGUAUCCAUAGUUUUAAUGUGAAUAUUGCCAUAUAACUUAACAAGCUAAAUAAGGAACACUUAUAGGGUUUAACAUCCAGCACUGAUUGCAUGAGAAAACCAUGGUUGUAUGCAAGUUGUUCCCAAACAGUCUUUUAAAAUAUAUCAGAUCAGUCUCUUCAUUACAAGGUACACUAUAGGAACACUGAGGAACAAAUUCCUUCAGUAAUGAACCUCACCUGAUACCCCCACUGUUUCCUAGUAGUCAUUCACUCACUCCCCUCCUUUCCCCCUAAGUACCAGCAACCAGGAACACGCUCUCACACUCUCUCUCUCUCUCGCUCUCUCAACUAUCCUAGAAGGCCUCACCCAAGGCUAGUGGACAAUAAAUCUAAAAGAAAAAGCCUGCUGGCCAGACAUUCCCUCAGACACAACUGAGACCCUGUCGUUUCUUGAAGGUUUGGGACAGCAGAUCAUUCUUGGGCUGAGUGAGUGAAGCCAGACUUUGCUGUCAGCCUCCCAAAGGAUGACACUCCUCACAUAGCCUAGCAUUUUGAGAGCCAAUCUGGCAGGAAUUAGCUUCUCAUUCUUACCCAGUCAUCACAAGAGGUGCCAGGCCUACUCUGGGUUCUACCUAAAAGAGGUCUAAGGAAACGGAACAAUUGCUUUCUCUAUAGAAUCUUUGUUGGUUAUUCUGAAAUACUGUAGCUUUUUGGAGCAUAAAUGAUAACAGCCCAAAUGAUUCUUUUGACUCAAAACACAGCUGAAAAAUACAAGAAACAAAACCAUUGACUACAAUAUUUCUGUGGAAAAAAAAAAUCUCUUGACCAGGUGCAGGGGCUCACACCUAUAAUCCCAGCACUUUGGGAGGCCAAGGUGGGCGGGUCACUUGAGCUCAGGAGUUUGAGACAAGCCUGGGAAACACAGGGAGACCCCAUCUCUACAAAAAAUUACAAAAAAUUAGCUAGGCCUGGUAGCAUGCACCUGUGGUCCUAGCUACUCGUGAGGCUGAGGUGAGAGGACUGCUUGAGCCCAGGAGGUGGAGGUUGCAGUGAGCCAUGAUCAUGCCACUGCACUCCAGCAUGGGUGAUGGAGGGAGAACAUGUCUCAAAAAAAAAGAAAAGAAAAAAAAAAGACAUUCAGCCGCUUCAAAGUUUCAUCAGAUAAUAAUUAGUAAUUUUCAAGCACAGAUGAUCCACAGGAAUCAAAGAAUCAGGAGGGUGAAAACAAUAAGUUACAAAGGCCAUUUGCCUCAACACAUAAAUGAGAAAAUAAACAGAGAUAAAUUAGGAGGCUGCCCCAGUGUAAGUUUUGACUAGAAUUUGAGUGUUCUGAUUCCCGAUCUAUACUUCCUGCAUCUCUCCUAAAUCCACAGCAUUAAAGUUAACAUUUGUAACAAUAACUCAAAGAAUUUUUAUUUCUAAAGAGAUUCAGCACAAUUUCCACAUUUAUAAAUACCACAGCAAAACACAUUUUUGAAAAAGUGAAGUUGGAAGAAGCAUUUAUUAUAGUUCCUGAGAAUGGCUUACUGAAUCUAAACAAGCAUUAAAUCAAGAAAAUUCAUCAAACAGAUGACAAUGCUAUAUUAUUAAUAAAUAACAUUUUGUUCUUUGUGAUCAAGUUAACAUAAUAUAAUGGUAUACAAUUUUUAUUCUAAGAGAAUCAGCCCAGUUGGGGGAAAAAAAAAAACCCACAUACUUUACUCUGUCAAUCAAUUGGUCGCUACAGUGGUCCUGGUCCUUACCCGGAGUUAAGUAUGGUAUAAAGGCUAUGCUAAAAACCACCAAGCUUUGAGAUCUUCACAGACUCAGCCAAAAGUCAUUGACCUUAGGCUGCCCCAUUUUUUACCAACCAUGCUGGGCUUCCAUAUUGCUGUCCAUAUGCUGUCAUAAAGUGACAUGUUCUGGCUACCAAUGCCUCCACUAUCCACACCACAACAGCCGGGAUGAAAAUAAAAAGAAAGGACUGUUUAACUGGGCAAAGCCCAUUUCAGUCAAUUCUUUGAUGUUUCUCUUAGUAGAGAGAAAUACCUAAGACUGAGAAGAAGGCAUUCAAAUUCACGAUUUUAGCCUCAACAAGGACAUUACUGACUUCACUUAAUGUAAAAUAAAGACUUGGAUAAUCGGGUAUUUCUUAGGUAUGGUCUCAGCUUUGAAAUAAAUGACAAAGCAUACAAAGAGAAGAAUCUUGAGAGAAUUAUUCCUAUUACAAAAGCAUUUCAUUCUACAAAGGGAUUCACAACAGGCUUUUAAAAUCAUCGUAUACAUUAUAGAAUACUGCAAAAGAAAAGGAUGUAUAUACAAAAUGCUAGAAGGCCAUUGAAUGUGAGUUGUAGCAGUGAUAAUACUGAAUGGUUCUGUUUUAUUGAUUCAGGCCCUUGAUGGAUGCUACUGAGAUGAAGGUCACAGGUUGGAUCCCAGAAUAUGUCAUUUAGGUUUGAGAAGAGGAGAAACAUGCAGAACUUCUAACUCUAGAUACAACUAAAUUGUGGAUUUUCAGAGAAUUGAGAAGGUCUGAAUGGUUAAAGACAGAGCUAUCAUAGGAAGAAACAAAGUAGAUAGUCUUCCAAAAGUCAGUAGCAUUCUGUGACAUAUGUGCCAUAUUGGAUUAUUAUUCUGAACAUUAACCAUAAACUUUCACUUUCCAUACAGGCCAUUAAAUCUCUUCUACUUAGAUCAAUGGCCUGAAGGAAACUGACCAACUCACUUUAUAUCAAUAUGAGGACAUUUGCUGUGACUGACAAUUGAAAGCAGCUCACCCCUCUAUGUAAACUCUAAGUCGAGUCAUGGGAUUAUGGAAAAAAAGAAAGAAAAUAAAAAAUGUUUAGAAAGAGGAAAAAUGAACUUCCAGUUUUCAACUAUCACAUUAGUGUUUAUCUUUUUAGAGGCAGAGACAAUCUAAGUACAAAGCCAUCUCCAUUCUAACAACUUAAUUUUUUUAAACACAGUGAACAGCCUGGAAUCAGCAUAGAGAAGGAGGAUGUCAGGAAAAUUCGGCUGUUUGUGCACAGAUCAUGCUUUUGUUCUCCAACACAUAAGACUGCACAUCUCUUUCAAAUGCAUUAUCUAUCUAAAAGUGAGCCCAGCCAGAAUUUAUCAGACACAAUUUAUCAUAAUUCAGCAAUUGUGUGUAGAUCCCCUACUAUGUGCCAACAUAGAGCAAACCUGCUAUCCCUGAGUCUGCUUGUUUUUGGAGAGCCUGCAAAACUGUAUAGAGUUCAUAUUUUCUGUAACCAAACAUUUGCUCUAGAGGUAACUCUACACCUGCAAACACACCCAUUUUUUCACAGCACUGCUGUGACUUUUUUGAUCCUUUUUUGUAUAGGAUCAAUGACACAUCUGUAUUAGAUUCCAAUAAUUUAAACAUAGGUCUUAAAGUCUGUUGCUUUGUGCAUGUCAAUUUCUGCAGGCGAACAGCUGACUUCGUUUUCAAGCAACAAUACUGUCCGGUGAAAAAUAUACCUUCCUGAGACAAAAGAUACUUUUUGUCCCCAUGAAGCUUUGUUGCCUCGUCCAGCAGCAAAUGACUCAAAAGACGCGUUCUGCCACCCUCAACAGUCGUUUUCAGGCAAAGAGGAACAGCAAAUGAGGUACCAGCAAAAGCUUAAGAAACAAAACCAAGGUGAGUUGAAGGCGGGGAAGAAAGGCGGAGUGGAAGCGAGAAAUGCAAUCUAAACUCUACUUUGUGAUCUAAGAAAUUCAGCCUUUACUGAUGAAUUGGGCAGAGGAAGGGGAGGGUACAAGAAAGGGGAAGAUAAUAUUUUCUGUUACGAAAAAAAAAGUGUGCUGCUGUCCUGGUUUUCUUUCAGUAGCACCCAGAGAAUGCAUGGCAGGCACAAUCUAGUUUCGCGACGAAAACGAAUUCCAUGAGAAUAACACAAGUUUGUAUGUGACACAAUGGAGAUAUCCAACCAAACCGAGGAACUAUACAAUUGCAUGACAAUUCCUCAAAAUUUUAAGUGCCUUCGAGUACCAAAAAAGAAGUUUAUGAUUAUUCACAGGACAGGGUUAUCAGUUUAAUAUCACCAUUUUGCAGGAUGUGGACCCGUCCUGUCACAUCCUCUUUUAAAGAAACCGCUAAUAACCUGAAAUGCUAUUAUCCCCUAUUUGCCAGGACUGUGGGCCUGAUAGUUUCACGGAUAAAAACCAAACAGCGACCAGAAGCCAGGAAGUCCCUGGCGAAUUCUUUUGAAGCACAACCCCUACAAUCCGUGUGCCGGAGCAUAAAGAUUGAAGUGUGCGCGGUUCCUCCUCCCUCCGGGCCGCGCGUCCGGAACGUUCCUGGCUGUCAGCGCUGUGCUAGCAGGAAGGUCUGUGAAGUUUGCAAUAAAGCCAUUAUGAAGUCAAGAAUGGAGGUUCCAUUUUUAAAGAACUCAGAGGGGGUAGAUCUUGAUUGACAUCUCAUCUGGGGUCACCUGGUCUUCAACUGAGAGAUCUUUUGGUUCGCCACGGAUGCCCCUUGCAGUUAUGGAAGUUCACUCUUUGAGAGAGAGAUAAAUAAACAUUAAAAUGUAAAGAAAAAAAAAAUCAGCAAUGGAAGGAAAAAGGAACAAAAAGCAAUCCAUUGGCGUCAAGCUUGACUGGACCACUCCACUGCUCUGCUGCCGUUAGUGAACCUGACCCUGCAGCAGGAGUCACAGACUCACCACUCACCUCAAGUCCUCACUCCCUGGACCCUCAAUCUACACAUCACUUUGUCUUUUAUUUCCCUGAGAAAUACAGGCCAUCAGUUUGCAGAUCCCUCCUUUCCCCUUACCCUGCAAAUCUCCAUCUAUUUGGAAAAGUGUGCCUCCUACAUUCCAAAGCUAACCCCUCCUCCUCUGCCACUAAUAUCAGCCCUACCUGCCUUCUUCUGUAACUUGCUCCAUUAAUUCCCUCCCCUCUCCCCCAGGUCUCCCUGCCUAUGAACAUAUUCAAGGACAUCAUAUCUUAAAAACAAACAAAUAUCAGGCACAAUGGCUCACACCUGUAAUCCCAGCACUUUGAGAGGUCAAGGCAGGAGAAUCACUUGAAUCCAGGGGUUCAAGACCAGCCUGGGAAACAUAGGGAGACCCUAUCUCUACAAAAAAUAUUUUUUAAAAAAAUUAGCCAGGUGUGGUGGUGUGCACCUGUAGUCCCAACUACUCAGAAGGCUGGGGUGGGAGAAAUAUUUCAGCCCAGGACGUCACUGUGCACAAUUGCUUUACUUUUUUUUCCCUUGGUAUAGACUUGUUGAAGAGUAAGCCUUCAUGUACUGUUUCCUCACUUUACAUUCACUCUCAACUGGAGACAAUAUAGAGUCUUCGCAGAUGCAGCUUUCUCCAGACCAACAAUGUGGUUAGACAUCUGGUUUUUCAUUGUUGUUGUUUGAUUUCUCUGACUAGCUUCCCUGACCAGAGGUCGUUUUGAGUUUCCUUCUCUGGAAUUUGACCACUGAGCAGAGACACAUAGGAGAGAAGACGUGAAUGCUGAGUCAUCAAUCAGCAUCACUGGGAAGAAAAAGCCUCUCAGUUUCUUCUGCUGGGACUCCCAGAGCUGGAGUAUUUUCUGCUCUUCCUAAGGCCUGGUAAUUCAGCUCUUUGUGAGACUGUGAGCUUUACCAUACCCUUCCAGUAGCAACCUUCUUCUUUUUUAAGUUCAUUGCGGGGAAUAGGGAGUGAUGGCUGAUGGACAUAGGGUUUCUUUUUGGGGUGACAAAAAUCUUCUAAAAUUAAGUGGUGGUGAUGGUUGCACAAUUUUGAAUAUACUAAAAACCGUGAAUUCUAAAGUUUAAACAGGUGAAUUCUGUGCUAUAUAAAUUGUAUCUCAAUGAAAUUACUAAUAUUCUAAAGCCUCCCAAGUGACUUAGAUGUUCGGUGAGUGUUGAAAGCCAGUUAUUUAUCACAUCCUUAAGUCCUGCUACCUUUCUCUCACUCUCUAAGUUCAGUUUCCUCUUUGGUUUGACUUGGACCAAUCUGCAACAACUCUUGAUGUUUCUUGUAAAUUCUAUGACUAACUCCCAGAGCUUCUCCUGUCUAUCUGAUACGCAUUUAGCUUCUCCUUUCAGGCCUCAAACAGCAUGUUUAGAACAGAACUGAUCUUCUUCUCCCCAACCUGCUUUACCUUUUCUAUUUCUCACUCAGUUACUGGCACAAACUUCUCCAUAUAUGUUUAAGAAGACCUCUACUUUGACUUUCCCUGCUCCUUCUAACUUACAUCCAAUUAAUCAAAACGUUGUAUCAGUUUUAUUUCUGAAACAAUCUCUCCCAUCUUCCUUAUCUCUUCAUUCCACUGCCAGGUCUGAGUCCACCCUUUACUAUUUUCUGUUGGAUUAAGGCAAACCUCCUGUAAAGAGCUGCCCUGUCUCCUGCAGUCUCAUCCUCCAGUACCCCUUCAUGCCUACACUGAAGUCCUCUUCCUAAAACAGGAAUAGGGUUAACUCACUCACCUCCCCUAAACCUGUUAGUGGCUCUGCACUGAGUACUGGAUCAAGUCUAAUGUAAUGAGAAGGCCCAUUCAAUCUGGGCCAAACUUUCCUUCUUAGCCUAGUGUCCUCCUAUGCCCCCUGCACAGACCUUAGCUCCAAUCACACUAACCCAUGCCAUUACCUGGACACACUGUGCUAGUCUACACUCACGUGCCCCCAGCUCACAUCUCCCCUUUUCCUGGAAUGCCAUGUCCAUAUGGCCUGGAGAAUGACCUAAAGUUAGUGCCAGCAGAGAGCUUAUCAGUAGUGGGGCAGAUCACAGGGGAGAGCAGGUUUUGGAGCUAGGGUGAGGUGUCAAUGAGAAGAAGGGUGAUUUAUUAAGAAGUAAGCUCAUUUCAAGCCAUACACCUGAAACCUGACGCCCAAAGAGGAGGCAGAGACCCAAUCAACUACUGAUACAGUUUGUGAGGCUGGAGACUUGAGAGAACAAUAGGUUGAGGCAAGUGUAACCAAUGGAUUAAUUCCUUACCAAUCUAGGAUUCCUGGAGCGUGGAGUGCUCCAGGCCUGGUGGCACCAAGACUUUAAAAAGAAAAACCAUUACACAGUGAGAUUUGGUCUCUACACAAAAUUUAAAAAUUAGUGUGGUGUGGUCGCACACAACUGUAGUAACAGCUACUCAGGAGGCUGAGGUGGGAGGAUCGCUUGAGCCCAGGAGUUUGAGGCUUCUAGGAGUUUGAGGCUUGCUAUGUUGCUCAGGCUGACCUCCAGCUCCCGGGCUCAAGAGAUUCUCCCGCCUCAGCCUCCUGUGUUGUUGGGACUACAGGCACGCACCACCAUGCCCUGCUGGUUAGCUGUUUUUAAAAAUUAUUUUUAAAGCAUCAUUAAAUUUCUCAUACUGAAAAAAAUGGCCUGGAUACUUUAAGAAGAAUAAGACAGAUUUGAGCAUUCAGCAAUCAUAGCUGAACUUCCUAAGAGACUAUAGCAAGCUGGUUACUAGGGAAAUUGUUUUUUUCCUUACUGAAAAAAAAUCCGGUGUUAAUAUAUCAUUUUAGAUGUGUAAUGUUUAGGGGUCCUUAUUGUUCAAGGAAUAUAAAGUAAGAGGGGCCGUCUCUCAUUGUAUAAUAUAAAACAAAAAAGAAAAAGUAUUGAUCUCAGAGAGAAAGUAAAUUGUAGCUAAAUUAGAGGAAGAAAAUCAUGCCUCUUAUUUAUCCUUGACUCCCCACUGACCAGCACAGUGCUCAAGAAAUUUAUUAAAUGAAAAAAGAAUCAGAAAAAAAAUUAAAGGAAGAAAAAGAGGAAGGAAGAAAGUUAGGAAGGGAGGGAACAUAUCUUAAAAGAAACUGUAAACCAGUCUGUUCUGGUUUUUUUUUUUCCCCUCCUAGUUGCCAAUUGAAGUUUCUUCUUAAAAAUAACCCUAUGUCAACUGAACUAAGUUAAAACGUGCUAACCUGGGAAAGAUAAAAAGAAACAUUAUGUCUCUAUAGGUUCUUUGUGAUGAAACAAAUCCGCCUCAACCCAGAACACUAGCAAAGCGUGGGGUAAGGCAAAUAAGACUUAAAAAUUUUGAUGAUUUGUAGAAAACAGAAGUUCACAGUUCAGCAGUUCCUUCUUGCUUGGGAUGAUCUUCACAACACCAGCCCCCAAAUGGAAGGGUAACUAACUGCUCCAGUUCAGUUGGCUACCUUGUGAGGCUGGCAUCCAUUCCUAGCAAAAAUGGGCAGAAAUGGGGAAAUGCCUCCCCUUAAGACCAUAGCUUUUCACCUUGACCUUCCUCCAUUUUAUCUACUCCAGAAGGUCUCCACCAAGCUCCCAGCAGCACAGCAUGCUCAAAACCUGACAUAUCCAUGGUAACUUUUCACAGCAAUGUGAUGAAAUUUGAGAAACAAACCAGAAAUGUAAUGUGAUCACCCACAUCAUAUCAGCCUCACAGGCAAUCAAGAGCUUGGCUUCAAUUACAAAAUGAACUCCAGAAAUCUUCCAACAGUUAGUCAAUCCCAGCCUUUCACAUGAAAAUGUAUUUAAUUUACAUAAUACUGUGAAGAAGGUAUUGUUAUGAUCCUCACUUUGCAGCCUAUGGAAGUAGGGAUUAGUCCUUGAUGAAGAGUCAGAAGAUGUAUGUACUUUCAAAAGUGAUUUAAUAUGGAAACUGGAAAAAAAUUAUAAAACAUGUAAUGGAAUCCUAAAUAGGAUACUGAUAAGGUUUGGCUCUGUGUCCCCACCAAAGUCUCACCUUGAAUUGUAAUAAUCCCCACGUGUCAAAGGCAGGU